rnacentral:tRNA from 1 species
GCGGAUGUGGCGAAAUUGGUAUACGCGCUGGUUUUAGGUACCAGUGACUUAGGUCGUGAGAGUUCGAGUCUCUCCAUCCGCA